UGGAUAGCUGAGUUGGUAGAGCAUGAGACUCUUAAUAUCAGGGUUGCGGGUUUGAACCCCACGUCGCGUGAAAAA